rnacentral:rRNA from 1 species
GAUGAACGCUGGCGGCUUGCUUAACACAUGCAAGUUGAACGAAGUGGCGGAUGGGCGAGUAACACGUGAGGAACCUUCCUUUCACAGGGGAAUAACACUGGGAAACCAGUGCUAAUACCGCAUAGUGAAAGAUGGACUCGCGCCUGAUUAGCUCGUAGGUGAGGUAACGGCCCACCUAGGUGAUGAUAAGUAGCCGGACUGAAGGUUGAUCGGCCGCAUUGGGAAUGAGACACGGCGCAGACUCCGACGGGAGGCAGCAGUGGGGAAUAUUGGGCAAUGGCGCAAGCCUGACCAAGCAACGCCGCGUGAAGGAAGACGGUCUUCGGAUUGUAAACUUCUUUAGACAGGGACGCGGGACCUGUAGAAUAAGCCACGGCGAACUACGUGCCAGCAGCCGCGGUAAUAC